rnacentral:lncRNA from 1 species
GUACGAUCUGUGUAGUUACAACCGCACGAUGGCCUUCUCCUUUCCAACUGCUUCACUAAAAAACAAAACAGAAAAAUAGCCAUGGCGCAUGUGAUACAGGCAGUCCGUGAUCUCCCCAGAACCCAGCCUGCUCGCCGGCCACCCUGGCCCGCUUGCCUCGCCUGCCAGUUGACGCCGUCGUCGCCGGUGGUCGGCUGGUCGCCCUCCUCUAGCCAAAAAAUUACAUGGUUCCAGAAAACAAAAAGCAUUUUUCCACCAAAAAGAAUGAAGGUUCCAGCAAAAACAAAUGGAUCCCUGCCCGCCGGUGGUUGCCCUUCUCGAAGCUUGCAGCAUCCAUCCUCUAGCAUGGCGUCGCCUUCGUAGCACCUGCAGCUUAAACACAUGCCACUACCAGCAUACAGCCACCAUGGUUGUAGCAUCCCGGCGUCCUCGUCUCUGGCUCGCCGCGGUCGUCUUGCACCGCCAUGUCCAGCAAACAAAAACUUCAGUACUUGGUUGAAGCAAAAAAGUUUCCUUGUUCCAGCAAAACUUAGUGAUGGUUCCACCAAAAAUCUCGACGGCAAAAAACUCGGAUAAUCGAUUGUAGCAAACAAAUUAGCCAGUUCCAGCAAAAGAAAAGGCUGGUUCCAGCAAAAAUCUCAGUGCCAAAAAACUCGGAUAAUCGAUUGUAGCAAACAAAUUAGCCAGUUCCAGCAAAAGAAAAGGCUGGUUCCAGCAAAAAUCUCAGCGCCAAAAAACUCGGAUAAUCGAUUGUAGCAAACAAAUUAGCCAGUUCCAACAAAAGGAAAGGCUAGUUCCAGCAAAAUAAAAUCAACAACGAAAAACACCCAUGCCGAUUGCAGCAAUAAUAAGAGCCAAUUCCAGCAAAAACGAACGCUGGUUCCAGCAAAAAAAAAAAGCUUUGCGUGGCGACGAGCGUCCGGUUCCAGCAUAAUCACCCGUCGGUCGCAACUUCCCAGCCGGUCGGUUCCAGCAUCUCCGACCGAGGUCUCCACGCGCAGUAACACCUCCAGCUCGCCAUGCCGUGCGUCUCCACGCGUAGCUGGCCGCCUCACAUCCGAGCACAUCACCUAUGUCGCCGCCUCACAGCCUGACGACGUGGGUAGAUGUGGGGAAAGGAGAGGGAGGAGAUAGGUGAUUGGGGAGGGCUUGUCUAACGGGAGAUGGGAGAAGAGAAGUUUCUCCAUGGCGGCUGAUGCAGGAGAAGGUAGUGGCCGCGAGAUGGCUGAGAGAAGAGAGAGAGACAGUAGGAGGGAGAGCCUCCAUGCACUAAGAAAGAAGAAGGGGAACGAGUGGCUCGCUUUUUUUUGAGUAACAGCGCUCUUUAUUCAAAGAUCAAUGUUUUGAGAGAUACAAAGAUGAGCAGGGGGGUCACCUAGCCAGACAUGCCUCCCCACAUCUAAACUAGUUGCCAUCCUAGCUAGUCUAUGAGGCUCGACAUUACAUUCGCGCUGUUCGUAGCUGAAGGAGCACUCCGGGAGGGUCGCAGCUUUAUCCCGAAUAUCAUUUAGGAUCAUGCAGUAAGGACCCCGAUGAACGGACUCACGAAGCUCAUUAAUGACUCUCAGACAGUCGGUUGCAAUACUAAUGUUAUUCACAUGCAGAUCCUCGGCCAGUGAUAAAGCCUCUCGACAUGCAAGAGCUUCAAGGGUUGUGGAAUCCGUCACAUCGUUGAACACCACUGCCGACGCACCCAGAUACAGUCCAUCAUGACUCCGGCAUACAACACCAACAGCGCCCUUGUUCAGAUUCUUCGCCACUGCGCCAUCUGCGUUGAGCUUCACCGUUCCCGGAACCGGCCUAAUCCAUUUUGUUUGCUUCAUCUUGGCUUUGGUAGGAUCAUUCCGGGACUGUAUCGGUCUACUGCAGGUCUCAAUCUCGUCAAGAUAGCGCCGGAUAAACAAGUGUGUAGACAAAGGACUCUGAAAUUCCCCUUCAUGAAUGGCGCGGCGUCGAGCCCACCAUAUCGCCCAGAGAGUCACAAGAACAUCAACAAACUUAGCACUAUCGAGUGUCCUGCUCAGACCAAACAACCAUAAUUUUGCAACUGGUGUUUCAUCACCAAAAAGAGGGAUGGCCGAAUCAUCUUCUCGAAGGCACCAGACACUCUUUGCCAAAUUACAGUCCAGGAGGGCGUGCCUCCAUGAAUCAACAGCUGCAUUACAUAUCGGACACGCCGCUGAGUCCUUCAUCUUCCGACGGUUCCGCUCCUCACUGGUGGGCAAAGAUGCCCGGGCAAGUCUCCAAGCAAAUACCCUGAGCUUUGCUGGAACCUUGACCCUCCAUAGCUGGCGCCAAUUCUUCUCUUCCUCCUCUCGGUUGGAGUCUCCUGUCGCCUCAUGGAGCCAAUCUUCACGCUGUAAUUUUGUUUCCACGAGCAUUCUGUACGCUGAUCUCACCGAGAAGCAGCCAGACUUCUCAUACUGCCACGCCCAGAAAUCAUCAUGGGCCUUAUAGCUUAGAGGAAUCUGCCUAAUGACCUCAAUGUCCAUCGGUAGCAUGUGUUUUUCAAGCUCUUCCAUAUUCCAUUCUCUGGUUGCUGCAUGUAUGAAGUCAGACACCAUUUGUGGUGGGUUUGUAGUGAUCGCACAUGCUGGACGCAGCCUGAAGUCCCUCGGCAACCAAUUCUCUGACCAAGCAUUUGUAGUUGUCCCAUUCCCAAUGCGCUUAAUUAGGCCAACUCUUAGUAUGUCCCUGCCCUCACAAAGAGAGUGCCAUACCCUGGAUGGAUUAGGACCUAACUCAGCAGAAAGGACAUCUGAAGUAGGGUAAUAAGUUGCCUGCAAAAUUCGAGAACUCAAUGAGGAGGGAUCUUGUAAGAUUCGCCACACUUGCCGAGCAAGAAGUGACAAGUUAAAAAGCUCCAUGUCUCUGAAUCCCAUUCCACCCUUGUACUUCGGCAUGGUCAUCGUCUCCCAAGAGACCCAUGCCGUUUUCCUCUCUCCCGCCUUACUCCCCCACCAAAAUUUUCUUAUGAGCGAGGUAAUGUGCUGGCAAAGACCUCUCGGCAAUUUAAAAACUGCCAUUGAGUAUGUAGGGAUCGCUUGCACAACCGAUUUUAUGAGCACUUCUUUCCCACUGCCAGCAAGAGUAAGUUCCAUCCAUCCCUGGACGUUCUUCCAUACUCUGUCUUUCAAAUAUGCAAAUGUUCCAUUCACUGACCUGCCCACUUCCGAGGGUAAACCAAGGUAUUUCUCAGCCAGUGUUUCAUUCGGUAUCUCCAGAAGAUCCUUUACCAUGAUUCUAGUUUGCUCCGGACACUUUUUACCAAAAUAGAUUGAGGACUUGUCAGCAUUUACGCGUUGUCCUGAUGCGUUACAAUAUGCCUCAAUUGUACCUUUCAAACAUGUAACAUUGGGCUCAGAGGCCUUACAAAACAGCAGACAGUCGUCAGCAAAAAGAAGAUGGUGUAUUUGGGGUGCCGUUGCUGCGAUCUUGAUACCCUCAAUCUGACCCCUACUCGCUUCAUGCUUUAAAAGGCAUGAUAGACCCUCUCCUGCUAAAAGGAACAGGUAAGGCGAGAUGGGAUCGCCCUGCCUUAUGCCCCUAGUCGGUUUAAACUCUUGGGUUUGUCUUCCAUUAAACAGAAUUGAGAAUGAGACUGAAGUGACUCCUCUCAUGACAGUCUCCACAAAGGAACUACAAAAUCCCAACUUAAGCAUGAUCGGCUCAAGAUAUUUCCAUUCCAAACGAUCAUACGCCUUUUUCAUGUCCAACUUUACCGCACAGUGUGUGUUUUUCUUACCCCAGUUCGUUUUCAUGAAAUGCAAACAUUCAAAUGCCGUGAUCACAUUAUCGGUAAUUAGCCGACCAGGAACAAACGCUGAUUGCUCUUCAGAAAUAAUAUCCGGGAGGAUUUGCUUCAGACGGUUUGCGAGCACUUUUGAUGCGACUUUGUAAAUCACAUUGCACAAGCUAAUAGGCCGAUACUGAGCAAGAUAUAAUGGAUUUAGUACCUUAGGAAUGAUAACAAUGAACGUCCUAUUGAUCUCCGCGGGGGAGUCAUCUCCCUUCAGAAUCCGAAUAACAAUCUUUGUAACUUCCUGGCCACACAAAUGCCAAUAUUUCUGAAAAAAGUGCGCCGGAAAACCGUCAGGACCAGGCGCCUUUGUCGGGAACAUUUGAAAAAGAGCUUCUUUAACUUCUCUCUCCGUAUAUGGUUUAGUCAAAUUUUCAUUCAUAAGCCCAGUCACUUUACAAGGUACAUGGGAAAGCACUUCCUCUAUCCCAAACACUCCUUUUGUCGUGUAGAGCUCUUCAUAAAAACUCACAGCCAUGUUUUCUAGCUCCGCCGGGUCCUCACAAAAUGUACCAUCUGCCCUUGCGAGUCGCUCAACCUGGUUCUUCUUCCUCCUGUUUGACGCUUUGCGAUGAAAAAACUUGGUAUUCUUAUCUCCUUCCAUGAGCCAUUGCACACGUGCCCGUUGCCGCCACAUGAUUUCUUCCCUAAAUCUCAACUCAAUCAUACGCUCUUCUAUUUUCAGCUCUUCAUAUGAUGGCCCCGUUCUGUCUACAACCGUCCGGAGAUCAACUAGUUGUCUGCGUAGCGCACGUAGCUCUUGCCAGACCGCACCAAAUUCCGACGCUCCCCAACCAAGAAUAGUUGACGCCGUGUGCUUUAGUUUCUCACAAAUUAGCCAGUUCCAACAAAAGGAAAGGCUAGUUCCAGCAAAAUAAAAUCAACAACGAAAAACACCCAUGCCGAUUGCAGCAAUAAUAAGAGCCAAUUCCAGCAAAAACGAACGCUGGUUCCAGCAAAAAAAGCUUUGCGUGGUGACGAGCGUCCGGUUCCAGCAUAAUCACCCGUCGGUCGCAACUUCCCAGCCGGUCGGUUCCAGCAUCUCCGACCGAGGUCUCCACGCGCAGUAACACCUCCAGCUCACCAUGCCGUGCGUCUCCACGCGUAGCCGGCCGCCUCACAUC